rnacentral:tRNA from 1 species
GAGGGUGUAGCUCAGUGGUAGGGUGGUGCUCAGCAUGCACGAGGUCCUGGGUUCAAUCCCCGGUACCCCCG